CGAGGGGCAGCAUGAACUUAGCUUGCUAAGUUUGAUGGCGACCGGCGCACGGGUGAGUAACACGUAUCCAACCUGCCGAUGACUCGGGGAUAGCCUUUCGAAAGAAAGAUUAAUACCCGAUGGCAUAGUUCUUCCGCAUGGUAGAACUAUUAAAGAAUUUCGGUCAUCGAUGGGGAUGCGUUCCAUUAGGUUGUUGGCGGGGUAACGGCCCACCAAGCCUUCGAUGGAUAGGGGUUCUGAGAGGAAGGUCCCCCACAUUGGAACUGAGACACGGUCCAAACUCCUACGGGAGGCAGCAGUGAGGAAUAUUGGUCAAUGGACGAGAGUCUGAACCAGCCAAGUAGCGUGAAGGAUGACUGCCCUAUGGGUUGUAAACUUCUUUUAUACGGGAAUAAAGCGAGGCACGUGUG
rnacentral:rRNA from 1 species